CAGCCGCCACGGGAAUACAGAGGGUGCGAGCGUUAAUCGGAUUUACUGGGCGUAAAGCGUGCGUAGGCGGCUUUUUAAGUCGGAUGUGAAAUCCCUGAGCUUAACUUAGGAAUUGCAUUCGAUACUGGGAAGCUAGAGUAUGGGAGAGGAUGGUAGAAUUCCAGGUGUAGCGGUGAAAUGCGUAGAGAUCUGGAGGAAUACCGAUGGCGAAGGCAGCCAUCUGGCCUAAUACUGACGCUGAGGUACGAAAGCAUGGGGAGCAAACAGGAUUAGAGACCCGUGUAGUCCCUGUCUCUUAUAC
rnacentral:rRNA from 1 species